AUAUAUAAUAUAUAUAAAAGAGUUUGAUCCUGGCUCAGAAUAAACGUUAAUAGUUAGCUUAACACAUGCAAAUUAAAUAUUAUUGUAUUUUUGUAGAAUGAUAGUGAACGGGUGAGUAAUAUGUAAAAAUAAACCUUUAAUAAUUGUUUAAUACAUGAAAAAAUUUAAUUGAUUUUAGAAAAGUUUACAUUAAGAUUAAGUUGUUGGUGUUGUAAUAGAACACCAAACUUAUGAUCUUUAGUUGGUCUUUGAAGAUGAACAACCACAUUGGAAUUGAGAAUGGUCCAAACUUUGUUAAAAGGCAGCAGUGAGGAAUAUUGGGCAAUGGGCGAAAGCGUGACCCAGCUAAACUAUAUAUGUGAUUAAAAAAAAUAAUUUUAAAGCAUUUUAAUAAAAAAAUAAUGAUUAUUUUAUGAAAAGUCCUGGCUAAUUUCGUGCCAGCAGCCGCGGUAAAACGGGAAGGGCAAACGUUAUUCGUAUUAAUUGGGCGUAAAGCAUAUGUAGGUGGAAUAUUAAGUUUAAGUUAAAAAAUUAAAAUUAAUUUUUAAUAAGAUUUUAAAACUAAUUUUCUAGAGUUCAAUAGAAGGUUAUAGAAUUUUAAAUGUAACGGUAAAAUGUUUUGAUAUUUAAAAGAAUCUCAAUUGUGUAAACAAUAACCUAGAUUGAUACUGACAUUGAGAUAUUAAAGCAUGGGUAGCAAAAGGGAUUAGAUACCCCUGUAGUCCAUGCAGUGAACGAUGAGUGUUAGUUUUUGGAUUUAUUUUUCAGGAAUAUAAUUAACAUAUUAAACACUCCGCCAGGGAAUUACGGUCGCAAGAUUAAAACUCAAAGGAAUUGACGGGGACUUUCACAAGCAGUGGAGCAUGUGGUUUAAAUCGAAAAUACGCGCGAAACCUUACCAAUUUUUGAAUAAUUUAUAUUACAGGUGUUGCAUGGCUGUCGUCAGUCCGUGUUGUGAAACGUUUGGUUCAUUCCAAAAAACGGACAAAACUCUUAUGUAUUUUUGAAUACAAACUGUUAAAGAUAUUUUAAAGGAAGGAAAGAAUGACGUCAAGUCCUCAUGACCCUUAUAAAUUGGGCUACUUUCAUGUGCUACAAUAAUUUUUUCAAAAAGUAGCUAUAAUGUGAGUUAAAGCAAAUCUUUAAAAAAAGUUGUGUUCAGAUUGUUUUCUGAAAUUUGAAAAUAUGAAGUUGGAAUUGCUAGUAAUCGUAAAUAAGAAUGUUACGGUGAAUAUGUUCUUAGGUCUUGUACACACCGCCCGUCACGCUAUGGAAAUUUGUUUUAUUUUAAAAUUAAAUUUUUUAAUUGACAGUAAAAAAAAGACUAGAGUGAAGUCGUAACAAGGUAGCCGUAGGGGAACCUGUGGCUGGAAAAAAUAAAAGAUAUUCUACUAUCCU
rnacentral:ncRNA from 1 species